rnacentral:rRNA from 1 species
AUUGAACGCUGGCGGAAUGCUUUACACAUGCAAGUCGAACGGCAGCACGGGGCAACCUGGUGGCGAGUGGCGAACGGGUGAGUAAUACAUCGGAACGUGCCCAAUCGUGGGGGAUAACGUAGCGAAAGUUACGCUAAUACCGCAUACGAUCUACGGAUGAAAGCAGGGGACCGCAAGGCCUUGCGCUCUUUGAGCGGCCGAUGUCAGAUUAGCUAGUUGGUGAGGUAAAGGCUUACCAAGGCGACGAUCUGUAGCGGGUCUGAGAGGAUGAUCCGCCACACUGGAACUGAGACACGGUCCAGACUCCUACGGGAGGCAGCAGUGGGGAAUUUUGGACAAUGGGGGCAACCCUGAUCCAGCCAUGCCGCGUGAGUGAAGAAGGCC